rnacentral:rRNA from 1 species
AUUGAACGCUGGCGGCAGGCCUAACACAUGCAAGUCGGACGGUAGCACAGGGGAGCUUGCUCCUCGGGUGACGAGUGGCGGACGGGUGAGUAAUGUCUGGGGAUCUGCCCGAUAGAGGGGGAUAACCACUGGAAACGGUGGCUAAUACCGCAUAAUGUCGCAAGACCAAAGAGGGGGACCUUCGGGCCUCUCACUAUCGGAUGAACCCAGAUGGGAUUAGCUAGUAGGCGGGGUAACGGCCCACCUAGGCGACGAUCCCUAGCUGGUCUGAGAGGAUGACCAGCCACACUGGAACUGAGACACGGUCCAGACUCCUACGGGAGGCAGCAGUGGGGAAUAUUGCACAAUGGGCGCAAGCCUGAUGCAGCCAUGCCGCGUGUAUGAAGAAGGCCUUCGGGUUGUAAAGUACUUUCAGCGGGGAGGAAGGCGAUGUGGUUAAUAACCGCAUUGAUUGACGUUACCCGCAGAAGAAGCACCGGCUAACUCCGUGCCAGCAGCCGCUGUAA